UAAUACCGCAUAUGCUCUACGGAGGAAAGCCGGGGAUCCGCAAGGACCUGGCGCUAUGGGAGCGGCCGAUGUCCGAUUAGCUAGUUGGUGAGGUAAAGGCUCACCAAGGCGACGAUCGGUAGCUGGUCUGAGAGGAUGAUCAGCCACACUGGGACUGAGACACGGCCCAGACUCCUACGGGAGGCAGCAGUGGGGAAUUUUGGACAAUGGGGGCAACCCUGAUCCAGCCAUGCCGCGUGCGGGAAGAAGGCCUUCGGGUUGUAAACCGCUUUUAGUCGGGAAGAAAAGGGCGAGGCUAAUACCUUCGUCACUUGACGGUACCGGCGGAAUAAGCACCGGCUAACUACGUGCCAGCAGCCGCGGUAAUACGUAGGGUGCGAGCGUUAAUCGGAAUUACUGGGCGUAAAGCGUGCGUAGGCGGUUCGUUAAGUUCGUUGUGAAAGCCCCGGGCUCAACCUGGGAACUGCAAUGGAAACUGGCGGGCUAGAGUAUGGC
rnacentral:rRNA from 1 species